GGUGUUCGGGAGCCAUGGUGGACUGCCGGAGCCAAGUACGGCGGCAGAAGAGGAAGCCGGUGUGAGUCCGGCGCGGUCCCGCCACUGUCACCGGGGAAGUAAGUCCCCGGGAGCCAGGAACUCUCACCGCCGGUCUCGUCGAAC
rnacentral:ncRNA from 22 species